rnacentral:lncRNA from 1 species
GUGGGUUAAAACCCUAUAUUAUGACAUAAAAGGAUGUAUUUUAAAUAACGGGUGGAUUUCAGAAACCUUUAAUAUUGAGCGCGGAAUUCGACAAGGUUGUCACUUUAAGCGCUUUAUUGUUUGUUUUAUCAGUUGAAUUACUUGCUUGCAGAAUAAGAGACUCUAAUGAUAUAAAAGGAAUACAAAUCAAAAUUGAUAAAAAAAAACUCAUAGUCUAAAAAUUUCACAAUUAGCAGAUGACACAACUCUUUUUUUAAAAUCUAAAAAUGAAAUAAAGCAUGCACUUAAUAUAAUUGAAACCUUUGGAUCGCUCUCUGGACUCAAACUCAAUAGAAACAAAACAGAAGGUAUAUGGCUAGGUAAACUUAAACAUUGCAAGGACAAAUUCGAAAACAUUAAUUGGAAACAUAACGUAAAAAGUCUUGGUAUUUAUUUUGGCUCUGUAUAAGAAAGAAUGUCAAAAACUUAAUACAGAAAAACAGU